AGUAACACGUAAGCAACCUAGCCUAUCANAGGGGAACGAACAGUUAGAAAUGACUGCUAAUACCGCAUAUGCCUUGAGUAUUGCAUGAUCAAAGGAAAGGAGCAAUCCGCUUAUAGAUGGGCUCGCGUCCGAUUAGCUAGUUGGUGGGGUAGAAGCCUACCAAGGCGACGAUCGGUAGCCGGACUGAGAGGUUGAACGGCCACAUUGGGACUGAGAUACGGCCCAGACUCCUACGGGAGGCAGCAG
rnacentral:rRNA from 1 species